rnacentral:rRNA from 1 species
AAUUGGAGGGCAAGUCUGGUGCCAGCAGCCGCGGUAAUUCCAGCUCCAAUAGCGUAUAUUAAAGUUGUUGCAGUUAAAAAGCUCGUAGUUGAAUUUCGGGAUCAAUAUUUCGGUCAUGCCGUUGGUAUGCACUGUUAUCAUUGAUUUCUCACCUUCUAAAGAAUCGUAAUGCCAUUAAUUUGGUGUUACGGGGAAUUAGGACUGUUACCUUGAAAAAAUUAGAGUGUUUAAAGCAGGCUCACGCUUGAAUACAUUAGCAUGGAAUAAUAAAAUAGGACAUCCGAUUCUAUUUUGUUGGUUUCUAGGAUCGAUGUAAUGAUUAAUAGGGAUAGUUGGGGGCAUUAGUAUUCAAUUGUCAGAGGUGAAAUUCUUGGAUUUAUUGAAGACUAACUACUGCGAAAGCAUUUGCCAAGGAUGUUUUCAUUAAUCAAGAACGAAAGUUAGGGGAUCGAAGACGAUCAGAUACCGUCGUAGUCUUAACCAUAAACUAUGCCGACUAGGGAUCGGAUGAUGUUAAUUUUUUAAUGACUCAUUCGGCGCCUUACGGGAAACCAAAGUGU